UUUUUUUUUUUUUUUUGUCUGGUCAUUGUGAGCUUAAUCUUUGGACAAAACCAAAUGGGUUAAUAUUUUACUUUCAGCUCUGACUGAAUUUUAGUUUCUUGAUCUUCAUUGACAAUAUCAUUAAUUUAGGAAGUGACCUCCCAGUCGAAUUGAAGUAGACAAAUAAGCUUCCACUCCUCAGUUAAGCUACUAGAAAUUUUAAGUUCAAGUUCUUUAAAUUGUGACUUAAUAAAUUUUAAAUUGAGUAAGUUGAAAAGUUAUCUGGAAUGGUUGACUUACUCAGAACUGGUAUUAUAGUAGUUAACGUAAACUUAAAAACUAGAACUAGAUGGAAAAAACCCCCCAAUUUUAGUUAACUAAGAAAAGACAAACAACAUUGUGAACUUGUAAAAGAGACAUACAUGUUUAUUCAGACUUUGAACGGCUCCAAGUCUGAGUCACUGCUUUUAUAAAGUUCUACGUUUUAAUUGUAAUACCUGUACAGAUUUUUUUUUUUAUUCUUACCUCUGACAUAUGUCCUCCAUAGAACAAUAUUUAAAAACACCUUUAAAACAGAACGAACGAAAUUGAAAUGAGAAAAUUCACUCUUGAAGUUAAACUGAAUUAAAAGCAAAAAGUCAAAAUAACUCGGAAUUUAAAAAUUUCAAGAUACGUAGUGUCAGCAGAAACAAGUUUCCAUAAAUAGCCGUUAAAGUUUAGUUGAUAAUAUGGCUAGGAUAACAUUAGAUUAGCUUAGUUAAGCUAAGACUGCUAGCAGGGAGGGAAAGGGGUUUGUCGAGAGUAAAGAGGACACUGUUCCUCCAAAAACUGACGUCAGACUCUGCAGCCAUGUUAGGAUCAACCAUAGUCUGUGGGAUCAACAGGCAUUUUCACAGCUGUCUCGCUGAGUUAUGUAAAGAAGAACUGGGUGUUAACAUCACAUCACCAGGCAUAAAAUCUUCAAAAUUGAGCGAACAGGACCCAGUCAGAUGAGGGGGGAGACAGAUAGGAAGAAGAAGAGGAGGAGGGAGAAGAGAGGAGCUUUAUGUCAGCCCGCUCUCCUCAGUCACGGCCAGUUAGUUAAAGCAAACGCAGGCGGACCCUUGAGAAAACGCGAGGCGGCGGAGAGUGCCAAUCACGGCCGAGCCCUGGGCAUUCCCUGGUACAGCUCGCCUUGAGCAACUUUUUAUUAAUUUAAUAAACAUCCCACAGAGACGGAGCGAUGUGGACUUACGUACCCUUGCAGACAACAGCACUGCUUGGGCCUAAUGAGAUGUGCUACUCACACACACACAC